GACGAACGCGGGCGGCGUGCUUAACACAUGCAAGUCGAGCGGUAAGGCCCUUUCGGGGGUACACGAGCGGCGAACGGGUGAGUAACACGUGGGUGACCUGCCCUCAGCUCUGGGAUAAGCCUGGGAAACUGGGUCUAAUACUGGAUAUGACUCCACGGUGCAUGUCGUGGGGUGGAAAGCCUUGUGCGGCUGAGGAUGGGCCCGCGGCCUAUCAGCUUGUUGGUGGGGUGAUGGCCUACCAAGGCGACGACGGGUAGCCGGCCUGAGAGGGCGACCGGCCACACUGGGACUGAGACACGGCCCAGACUCCUACGGGAGGCAGCAGUGGGGAAUCUUGCGCAAUGGGCGAAAGCCUGACGCAGCGACGCCGCGUGAGGGAUGACGGCCU
rnacentral:rRNA from 1 species